ACUUCCUUUCGGCGCAGAGCCCUGGAGCGUACAGCAUGCCGGGCAGCGGAAGCCCGGGGCGGCGGAACCCGGCCUGCCCUCCGGCUCUAACAGGAACUUGAACAAAUGUUUUCCAAAAACUUGUCAUGGAAAGUGAUUGAAACAACCCACCAGGACUACGGUUGCCAGCAAUAAGCAUGUAGGUGGCUGCAGGUAAAUGUUCAACUUAAGCUGUGAU